AAAGGAAAAAAAACCCUCUCGUGUUAUUGUAGGAACACUUGGAAAGCUCAUACUUCUUUCUUUCAUUUUCAGGUGUGAUGGCAGAUUAAAUCCAUGGCAGGAAACAGUGAUAAUGCCCACUGUAGAGCCGUGUGAAGAUGCUGGUUAAAGCUCCCGACAGGAUCAGGCCUAGAGUCUUGAAUUGUCACUGAUUUCACCAGGGCUGAGGGCACCUGACAGCUUGGAGCCUUGGAGACCCAGCCCAAAAGGAGCAGAAGGCGCAAACCGCAGAGGAAUGAAGUUGCUUGUGUAGGAAUGAAUAUCAGCUAGGAGCAAAAGUAUGAGUGAAAAAAAAAAAAAGACUCUCAGCAAUUUUUGCAAAGACUGUAAAUUUUCAAGUUGAUCUGGAGAUCAUCAGGAUGGGACCUUAGCACCAGCAACCUCCAGCAGACUGCGGUGGCUCAGCCUUUAAUAUGCUUCCACCCCUGUGUGUUAUACAGCCGUGAUACUGAACACACAAGGCAGACAGCUGCCCUGAGGCAUUCUCCAUAAAAACUUUCAUAUCACAGCGAAACUGAAUGCGCCAUUAUAACACCACGUCUCCUCUUCUUCAUGACAGACUUCUAUUUUUCCAUAUCACUGCCGCAUUCUCAUAACUGUGACCUGCUCAGUGCAAAUGGAAGCAGUUUGGGUGAUGAAGCAACCUUUUCCUUUGGGUACCUUGGGCCCCAUGUCCCCUCUAUCAGGAAAGCAGCAGACAAAAACCAGUGGAGAAGUAUGAUUUACAAAAGAAAAAAAUUGCUCUUUGCAUAUUUAGGGACAUCACUCAAAGUAUGGACUACAUGUUCAGGUCAGAAGGUCUCAGGCUCCCAACUGUACCGGUGAGAAAGGCAGACACAGCGCACUCUUGACUGGUUAAAUAGGACGUCCUCAUUACAGUCUUUGAAUGGGGGUCCAUGCCAAAUAUGCUAUGCUGUUGCUUGCAAGAUGAACAAAUGAGGACCUUAUAAACUAAGACUGGAUGCUUCUUCCUUGCCAAUGUCCAAGCAUUGUGCCUCCAUACCUGUUCUAGGUGUUGAUGUAAAGGAGCUGGGUGACUCCUUAAUACAUCAUUCAUGACAUGGUCGGUUAAACAGAAUUGAAUAUGAAUUUUCACAUCUUUUACAAUUGCAGAUCAGAGCCCUAAAUCUGCAGUCCGUUCCUAAGCAGAAAGAAGGACUGUUGGCUAAAAUAUUCCUUAAAUCUGGACAUCUUGAGAUCAUAUCUGUAUGUUAGGUAGUAGGGUGUUUUUUUUUAAUGUAGGUUAAAAAUAAGAAAAAAGUGAACAUGAGAUUGAGUUAAUUUUUAACACUUCAUUAAAUGUUAAAAGGCUUGAUUGUUGUAUUCCUCCCCAUCUUAG
rnacentral:lncRNA from 1 species